rnacentral:rRNA from 1 species
AAACAUCGCCUCCUGCAAUAAAUAGGAGGUCCAGCCUGCCCAGUGACCAAGUUAAACGGCCGCGGUACCCUAACCGUGCGAAGGUAGCGCAAUCACUUGUUCUUUAAAUGAGGACUAGUAUGAAUGGCAUCACGAGGGUUACACUGUCUCCCACCUCUAAUCAGUGAAACUGAUCUUCCCGUGAAGAAGCGGGAAUAAAACUAUAAGACGAGAAGACCCCAUGGAGCUUUAAACUCAGCAUCAACCAUCAACAACUACACCACAUAAAACAGAUGGACCUGACCGCUAGUUUUAGGUUGGGGUGACCGCGGAGCAUAAAAAAACCUCCACGAUGAACGACCUCCUCUCUAAUCCGAGAGCCACUACUCAAAGAAUUCAAAAAAUUGACACUCAUUGACCCAAACUAUUUUGAUCAACGAACCAAGUUACCCUGGGGAUAACAGCGCAAUCCAUUUCAAGAGCCCCUAUCGACAAAUGGGUUUACGACCUCGAUGUUGGAUCAGGGUAUCCUAGUGGUGCAGCCGCUACUAAAGGUUCGUUUGUUCAACGAUUAAAACCCUACGUGAUCUGA